rnacentral:rRNA from 1 species
GGAGAGUUUGAUCAUGGCUCAGAACUAACGCUGGUGGCGUGUCUUAGUCAUGCAAGUCGAACGAGAAAGUACCCUUCGGGGUGCGAGUAAAGUGGCGAACGGGUGAGUAACACGUGGGUAACCUGCCUUUGAGUGGGGAACAACCCCUCUAACGAGGUGCUAAUACCGAAUGAUAAGGCGAGUUGAUGACUCGUUUUUAAAGGUGGCCUCUACUUGUAAGCUGCCGCCUAGGGAUGGGCCCGCGUCGUAUUAGCUUGUUGGUAGGGUAACGGCCUACCAAGGCGACGAUGCGUAGCCGGCCUGAGAGGGUGAACGGCCACACUGGCACUGAGAUAAGGGCCAGUCUCCUACGGGAGCCAGCAGUCUAGAAAUUUGCACAAUCGCCGAAAGGCGGAUGCAGCGACACCACGUGGAGGAUGAAGCCCCUCGGGGUGUAAACUCCUGUCAGAAGGGAAGAAGGCGCGGGUGUUAAUACCGCUCGUUGCUUGACGGUACCUUCAGAGGAAGCUCCGGCUAACUACGUGCCAGCAGCCGCGGUAAUACGUAGGGAGCGAGCGUUGUUCGGAUUUACUGGGCGUAAAGGGCACGUAGGCGGGUAUGCAAGUCGGUUGUGAAAUCCUCUGGCUCAACUAGAGAACUGCAGCCGAAACUGCACACCUUGAGUCCAGCAGAGGGAAUCGGAAUCCCAGGUGUAGCGGUGAAAUGCGUAGAUAUCUGGGAGAACAUCAGUGGCGAAGGCGGAUUCCUGGGCUGGUACUGACGCUAAGGUGCGAAAGCUAAGGGAGCGAACAGGAUUAGAUACCCUGG